UGAGGGAAGGACGUACCUCCGUCGCUCUGUGCUCGCGGUCCUCUUGGUGUGUGUGGGGGACGUUACCCUCUAUAUACAUAUACACACAUGUGUCGCUUAUAUUUAUUUUGAAAAGUAGAAAAGAAACGAUUGUGUAAAGUACAUAUAUAAUUGAGCAGACUUAAUUAAACUUAGUUUCGUGCACCACUAAAGCGAGUAGCGUGACCUCAUGGAGACUAAGGCACAGCUGCACUCAAUGUACCCUUAACAGACAAUAUAAUAUCUCGUGAAAACAGAUGUUAAUAGUCAUCUUCUUGGGAUCAAAGCUAGCACUCUGAAAACGAGAAAAAAUAGUUUGUGCUGCUAGCGCACAUCCUGGUGGCUAGCGCACACCCUGGUGGCUAGCGCACACCCUGGUGGUUAGCGCACAUCCUGGUGGCUAGCGCACACCCUGGUGGCUAGCGCACAUCCUGGUGGUUAGCGCACACCCUGGCUGCUAGCGCACACCCUGGCUGCUAGCACACACCCUGGCUGCUAGCGCACACCCUGGCUGCUAGCACACACCCUGGCUGCUAGCGCACACCCUGGCUACUAGCGCACACCCUGGCUGCUAGCGCACACCCUGGCUACUAGCGCACACCCUGGCUGCUAGCACACACCCUGGCUGCUAGCGCACACCCUGGCUGCUAGCACACACCCUGGCUGCUAGCGCACACCCUGGCUACUAGCGCACACCCUGGCUGCUAGCACACACCCUGGCUAGCCUCGCACACCUUGCGCAAGUACACAAGCUGUGUGUAGGCUGGUGGGAGCUCUCCGCCUCCCUCACACAUCCACAGCACCACUUCCUGCUCCGUCACCUUUCCAGUCGUGGGUGACUGCUGAGGGGGUGACGCCUGUCACAUCCGCCGACUUUACAGGUUCCGAGGAGACGAGUGGAACAAGUCAAGGUAAG